AAGACAACUUUACGGAGUUGACGAUUGACGGAGCGAAGCGACGUCAAAGCGUUCAUUAAAGUCGAGUUGGCUUAGGGAUACGUUCGUUGGGUAGGGGAGCGUUCUGUAAGCCUGCGAAGGUGGCCUGUGAGGGUUGCUGGAGGUAUCAGAAGUGCGAAUGCUGACAUAAGUAACGAUAAAGCGGGUGAAAAGCCCGCUCGCCGGAAGACCAAGGGUUCCUGUCCAACGUUAAUCGGGGCAGGGUGAGUCGACCCCUAAGGCGAGGCCGAAAGGCGUAGUCGAUGGGAAACGGGUUAAUAUUCCCGUACUUGGUGUUACUGCGAAGGGGGGACGGAGAAGGCUAUGUUGGCCGGGCGACGGUUGUCCCGGUUUAAGCGUGUAGGUGUGUGUUCCAGGUAAAUCCGGUUCACUUUAACACUGAGGCGUGACGACGAGGCACUACGGUGCUGAAGCAACAAAUGCCCUGCUUCCAGGAAAAGCCUCUAAGCAUCAGGUAACACGAAAUCGUACCCCAAACCGACACAGGUGGUCAGGUAGAGAAUACCAAGGCGCUUGAGAGAACUCGGGUGAAGGAACUAGGCAAAAUGGUGCCGUAACUUCGGGAGAAGGCACGCUGACACGUAGGUGAAGUGAUUUACUCAUGGAGCUGAAGUCAGUCGAAGAUACCAGCUGGCUGCAACUGUUUAUUAAAAACACAGCACUGUGCAAACACGAAAGUGGACGUAUACGGUGUGACGCCUGCCCGGUGCCGGAAGGUUAAUUGAUGGGGUCAGCGCAAGCGAAGCUCCUGAUCGAAGCCCCGGUAAACGGCGGCCGUAACUAUAACGGUCCUAAGGUAGCGAAAUUCCUUGUCGGGUAAGUUCCGACCUGCACGAAUGGCGUAAUGAUGGCCAGGCUGUCUCCACCCGAGACUCAGUGAAAUUGAACUCGCUGUGAAGAUGCAGUGUACCCGCGGCAAGACGGAAAGACCCCGUGAACCUUUACUAUAGCUUGACACUGAACAUUGAGCCUUGAUGUGUAGGAUAGGUGGGAGGCUUUGAAGUGUGGACGCCAGUCUGCAUGGAGCCGACCUUGAAAUACCACCCUUUAAUGUUUGAUGUUCUAACGUGGACCCGUAAUCCGGGUUGCGGACAGUGUCUGGUGGGUAGUUUGACUGGGGCGGUCUCCUCCUAAAGAGUAACGGAGGAGCACGAAGGUUGGCUAAUCCUGGUCGGACAUCAGGAGGUUAGUGCAAUGGCAUAAGCCAGCUUGACUGCGAGCGUGACGGCGCGAGCAGGUGCGAAAGCAGGUCAUAGUGAUCCGGUGGUUCUGAAUGGAAGGGCCAUCGCUCAACGGAUAAAAGGUACUCCGGGGAUAACAGGCUGAUACCGCCCAAGAGUUCAUAUCGACGGCGGUGUUUGGCACCUCGAUGUCGGCUCAUCACAUCCUGGGGCUGAAGUAGGUCCCAAGGGUAUGGCUGUUCGCCAUUUAAAGUGGUACGCGAGCUGGGUUUAGAACGUCGUGAGACAGUUCGGUCCCUAUCUGCCGUGGGCGCUGGAGAACUGAGGGGGGCUGCUCCUAGUACGAGAGGACCGGAGUGGACGCAUCACUGGUGUUCGGGUUGUCAUGCCAAUGGCACUGCCCGGUAGCUAAAUGCGGAAGAGAUAAGUGCUGAAAGCAUCUAAGCACGAAACUUGCCCCGA
rnacentral:rRNA from 1 species